UGGGGAAUCUUCCGCAAUGGACGAAAGUCUGACGGAGCAACGCCGCGUGAGUGAAGACGGCCUUCGGGUUGUAAAGCUCUGUUAUUCGGGAAGAACGAUUCGUUUGUGAACAAUGAACGGAAGUGACGGUACCGAAAGAGAAAGCCACGGCUAACUACGUGCCAGCAGCCGCGGUAAUACGAAGGUGGCAAGCGUUGUCCGGAAUUAUUGGGCGUAAAGAGCGCGUAGGCGGUAUGGUAAGUCUGUCUUAGAAGUGCGGGGCUUAACCCCGUAAGGGGACAGUGACUUUCAUACUGUGGUCUCGGGAAGGAAAGCUGAAUUCCUAGUGUAGCGGUGAAAUGCGUAGAGAUUAGGAAGAACACCGGUGGCGAAGGCGGCGUUCUUGACGAGCACUGACGCUGAAGCGCGAAAGCGUGGGGAGCGGACAGG
rnacentral:rRNA from 1 species